rnacentral:misc_RNA from 1 species
CCGAGUGAGGGCCCUCUGGGUCCAACCUCCCACCCGUGUCUAUCGUACCUUGUUGCUUCGGCGGGCCCGCCAUUCGUGGCCGCCGGGGGGCAUCUGCCCCCGGGCCCGCGCCCGCCGGAGACACCAACACGAACACUGUCUGAAGGUUGCAGUCUGAGUCGAUUUAUUUAAUCGUUA